rnacentral:tRNA from 1 species
GCCUUUGUGGUAUAACGGUAGUAGACUCGGCACCUAUUCGAGAGACCCAGGUUCGAAUCCCGGCUAGGGCA